AAAGUACUCCUUCCGUCCGAAAAUACUUGUCAUUGAAAUGAAUAUAUCUAGAUGUAUUUUAGUUCUAGAUACAUCCAUUUUCAUCUGUUUUGAUGACAAGUAUUUUCGGACGGAGGGAGUAGUUU
rfam:Triticum urartu cultivar G1812 contig33206, whole genome shotgun sequence.